AUACUUACCUGGCAGAGGAGCCGCUAUGAUCAGGAAGGUGGUUUCCCCAGGGCAAGGCUCAUCCAUUGCACUGUGGGUGUGCUGACCCCUGAGAUUUCCCCAAAUGCAAGAAACUCGACUGCAUAAUUUGUGGUAGUGGGGGACUGCGUUCACACUCUCCUCCG
ensembl:snRNA U1 U1 spliceosomal RNA